CAAUACUUUGCUGGCGACCGGCGCACGGGUGAGUAACGCGUAUGCAACCUACCUAUCAGAGGGGGAUAACCCGGCGAAAGUCGGACUAAUACCGCAUAAAACAGGGGUCCCGCAUGGGAAUAUUUGUUAAAGAUUAAUUGCUGAUAGAUGGGCAUGCGUUCCAUUAGAUAGUUGGUAAGGUAACGGCUUACCAAGUCUGCGAUGGAUAGGGGUUCUGAGAGGAAGGUCCCCCACACUGGUACUGAGACACGGACCAGACUCCUACGGGAGGCAGCAGUGAGGAAUAUUGGUCAAUGGGCGAGAGCCUGAACCAGCCAAGUCGCGUGAAGGAUGAAGGAUCUAUGGUUCGUAAACUUCUUUUAUAUGGGAAUAAAGUGCAGGACGUGUCCUGUUUUGUAUGUACCGUAUGAAUAAGGAUCGGCUAACUCCGUGCCAGCAGCCGCGGUAAUACGGAGGAUCCGAGCGUUAUCCGGAUUUAUUGGGUUUAAAGGGUGCGUAGGUGGCUUUUUAAGUCAGCGGUGAAAGUUUGUGGCUCAACCAUAAAAUUGCCGUUGAAACUGGGGGGCUUGAGUAUAUUUGAGGUAGGCGGAAUGCGUGGUGUAGCGGUGAAAUGCAUAGAUAUCACGCAGAACUCCAAUUGCGAAGGCAGCUUACUAAACUAUAACUUGACACUGAAGCACGAAAGCGUGGGGAUCAAAC
rnacentral:rRNA from 1 species